GACGAACGCUGGCGGCGCGCUUAACACAUGCAAGUCGAACGGAAAGGCCUGCUUUCCCUUGUGGAUUGCGGGUACUCGAGUGGCGAACGGGUGAGUAACACGUGAGUGAUCUGCCCCCAACUUGGGUAUAAGCCUGGGAAACUGGGUCUAAUUCCCGAUAGGACUGCAGGGUGGUGCCUGUGGUGGAAAACGAUUUUCUAGUGGUUGGGGAUGAGCUCGCGGCCUAUCAGCUUGUUGGUGGGGUAAUGGCCUACCAAGGCGGCGACGGGUAGCCGGCCUGAGAGGGUGGACGGCCACAUUGGGACUGAGAUACGGCCCAGACUCCUACGGGAGGCAGCAGUGGGGAAUAUUGCACAAUGGGCGGAAGCCUGAUGCAGCGACGCCGCGUGGAGGAUGACGGCCUUCGGGUUGUAAACUCCUUUCGACCGCGAGGAAGCCACCUGGUUGGAAGGGUGGUGACGGUAGUGGUAGAAGAAGCACCGGCUAACUACGUG
rnacentral:rRNA from 1 species